AGGACGAACGCUGGCGGCGCGCCUAACACAUGCAAGUCGAGCGAGAACCGGGGCUUCGGUCCCGGGGACAGCGGCGAACGGGUGCGUAACACGUGAGCAACCUGCCCCGAAGACCGGGACAACCCGAGGAAACUCGGACUAAUACCGGAUGUCCUCACCGGAUCGCAUGGUCUGGUGAGGAAAUGGAUUCCGCUUUGGGAUGGGCUCGCGGUCUAUCAGCUUGUUGGUGGGGUAACGGCCUACCAAGGCGACGACGGAUAGCUGGUCUGAGAGGACGAUCAGCCACACUGGGACUGAGAUACGGCCCAGACUCCUACGGGAGGCAGCAGUGGGGAAUCUUGCGCAAUGGCCUAACGGCUGACGCAGCGACGCCGCGUGUGGGAUGAAGCUCCUCGGAGUGUAAACCACUGUUGCCCGGGACGAAUAGCUCGAUUAAUCGAGCCUGACGGUACCGGUGAGGAAGCACCGGCUAACUCCGUGCCAGCAGCCGC
rnacentral:rRNA from 1 species